GGGGAAUAUUGGACAAUGGGGGCAACCCUGAUCCAGCCAUGCCGCGUGAAUGAUGAAGGCCUUCGGGUUGUAAAGUUCUUUUGGUAGGGACGAUGAUGACGGUACCUACAGAAUAAGCUCCGGCUAACUUCGUGCCAGCAGCCGCGGUAAUACGAAGGGAGCUAGCGUUGUUCGGAAUUACUGGGCGUAAAGGGCGCGUAGGCGGUUCGACAAGUCAGAUGUGAAAGCCCUGGGCUCAACCCGGGAACUGCGUUUGAUACUGUCGUGCUUGAAUUCGGUAGAGGUGAGUGGAAUUCCCAGUGUAGAGGUGAAAUUCGUAGAUAUUGGGAAGAACACCGGUGGCGAAGGCGGCUCACUGGACCGACAUUGACGCUGAGGCGCGAAAGCGUGGGGAGCAAAC
rnacentral:rRNA from 1 species